AUCGCUUCUCGGCCUUUUGGCUAAGAUCAAGUGUAGUAUCAAAAUAUAUGUCCAUUUAAUGCUUUCUUAAAACACUGAUUCUCCAGGGGAAAGUAACUUUU
rnacentral:snRNA from 1 species